rnacentral:rRNA from 1 species
GAUGAACGCUAGCGGCAGGCUUAAUACAUGCAAGUCAAGGGGGUAGCAAUACAACCGGCGCACGGGUGAGUAACGCGUACACAACAUACCAUAUACUGGAGUAUAGCUUUGGGAAACUGAAGGUAAUCCUCCAUAACAUUGCGAGAGGGCAUCUGAUUGCAAUUAAAGUUUCGGCGGUAUAUGAUUGGUGUGCGUUUGAUUAGCUAGUUGGUAGGGUAACGGCCUACCAAGGCGACGAUCAAUAGCUGGCGUGAGAGCGCGACCAGCCACACUGGAACUGAGACACGGUCCAGACUCCUACGGGAGGCAGCAGUAGGGAAUAUUGGACAAUGGAGGAAACUCUGAUCCAGCCAUGCCGCGUGAUAGAUGAAGGCCCUCUGGGUUGUAAAUAUCUUUUUAUCUGGGAAGAAACACUCCUAUUCUUAGGAACUUGACGGUACCAGAGGAAUAAGCACCGGCUAACUCCGUGCCAGCAGCCGCGGU